GACACUGAGGGAAGCAAACUACAGCCACGGGCACAGCUCUCCUCCAGCGCUGGCUCAAACAUUCAGGCAAAAGUGCGGCGAGUACUCGAGUAGGGAGAAUCCACAGAGAGAUAGAGAGACAGAGGGUGACGGGAGACGGGAGACCAGAGACGAGACCUUCGACCGAACCGGUGCGCAUCUCAAUUCAGCAAAUACUGAAAAUGGAAUUCUUUACGAAAACCACAAAAUGCCGCACCAAAAACACAGUCUGUCUGUAGCUUUCAUAUAUCUGAAUCUUUGUGUAUUUGUAUCUGUA